GACGAACGCUGGCGGCGUGCUUAACACAUGCAAGUCGAACGGAAAGGCCCUGCUUUUGUGGGGUGCUCGAGUGGCGAACGGGUGAGUAACACGUGAGUAACCUGCCCUUGACUUUGGGAUAACUUCAGGAAACUGGGGCUAAUACCGGAUAGGAGCUCCUGCUGCAUGGUGGGGGUUGGAAAGUUUCGGCGGUUGGGGAUGGACUCGCGGCUUAUCAGCUUGUUGGUGGGGUAGUGGCUUACCAAGGCUUUGACGGGUAGCCGGCCUGAGAGGGUGACCGGCCACAUUGGGACUGAGAGACGGCCCAGACUCCUACGGGGGGCAGCAGUGGGGAAUAUUGCACAAUGGGCGGAAGCCUGAUGAAGCAACGCCGCGUGCGGGAUGACGGCCUUCGGGUUGUAAACCGCUUUCGCCUGUGACGAAGCGUGAGUGACGGUAAUGGGUAAAGAAGCACCGGCUAACUACGUG
rnacentral:rRNA from 1 species